rnacentral:rRNA from 1 species
GAUUCUGGCUCAGGAUGAACGCUGGCGGCGUGCCUAACACAUGCAAGUCGAGCGGAGUUAAGUUUCGAAUUAACUUAGCGGCGGAUGGGUGAGUAACACGUGGGUAACCUGCCCUGCACAGGGGGAUAACAGUUGGAAACGACUGUUAAUACCGCAUAUGCACACAGCACCGCAUGGUGCCGGGUGGAAAGAUUUAUCGGUGCAGGAUGGGCCCGCGUCGGAUUAACUGGUUGGCAGGGUAACGGCCUACCAAGGUGAUGAUCCGUAGCCGGCCUGAGAGGGCGACCGGCCACAUUGGGACUGAGACACGGCCCAAACUCCUACGGGAGGCAGCAGUGGGGAAUAUUGCACAAUGGGCGCAAGCCUGAUGCAGCGACGCCGCGUGAAGGAUGAAGUAUUUCGGUAUGUAAACUUCUAUCAGCGGGGAAGAAGAUGACGGUACCCGACUAAGAAGCCCCGGCUAACUACGUGCCAGCCGCAGC